CGCAGCUUUUCAAAGCUCAGUUCUUUAAAACAUAUCUUUGAUCGAUGAUGGCUGAUGAGAGACUGACAUUGUUUGCUAUUUUAUCACUUGAAAAUCCCAUUGGUCAGUCAUUGAAUCUCUCUGAUGAUGUACUUCAGUUCAUGAGGUCAAAGGCACUGAGAGACUUGAAAGAGAAAGGCAUCAAUCUAUGACAGAUGGACUGCUGCUCCAUCAUUCUGCAUAACAAAGGCAAUUUACACCUUGAUUCUAUGGGCUGAAUGCUUCUCAGCUGACCUACAUCCCGUGGACAGCAAUGGGUCUACUGAU